GACGUAGGGCGCGAGCGUUGUCCGGAUUUAUUGGGCGUAAAGAGCUCGUAGGCGGCUUGUUGCGUCGGCUGUGAAAACCCAUGGCUCAACCGUGGGCUUGCAGCCGAUACGGGCAGGCUAGAGUUCGGUAGGGGAGACUGGAAUUCCUGGUGUAGCGGUGAAAUGCGCAGAUAUCAGGAGGAACACCGGAGUGGCAAGGCGGUCUCUGGGCCACUACUGACGCUGAGAAGCGAAAGCAUGGGGAGCGAACAGG
rnacentral:rRNA from 1 species